UACAGAGGUCCCAAGCGUUGUUCGGAUUCACGUGGCGUAAAGGGUGCGCAGGUGGGCUGGUAAGUUCGAUGUGAAAGCCCCGGGCUUAACCCGGGAAUGGCAUUGGAUACUACUGGUCUGGAGGAUCGGAGGGGGGACUGGAAUUCUUGGUGUAGCAGUGAAAUGCGUAGAUAUCAAGAGGAACACCAGUGGCGAAGGCGAGUCCCUGGACGAUACCUGACACUGAGGCACGAAAGCCAAGGGAGCAAACAGG
rnacentral:rRNA from 1 species